rnacentral:rRNA from 1 species
UACGUAGGGUCCGAGCGUUGUCCGGAAUUAUUGGGCGUAAAGGGCUCGUAGGCGGUUUGUCGCGUCGGGAGUGAAAACUCAGGGCUCAACCCUGAGCGUGCUUACGAUACGGGCAAACUAGAGGUAUGCAGGGGAGAACGGAAUUCCUGGUGUAGCGGUGGAAUGCGCAGAUAUCAGGAGGAACACCGGUGGCGAAGGCGGUUCUCUGGGCAUUACCUGACGCUGAGGAGCGAAAGCAUGGGGAGCAAACAGG